GCUAAUAAGGGCGCAUGGGGGAUGUCUUGGCGUCAGAAGGCGAUGACGGGCGUGGAAGACUGCGAAAAGCUUGGGGAAGUUGUCAAACAAACAUUGAUCCCGAGAUACCCUAAUUAGUAUGUACUGAAUACAUAGGUGCAUACGGCCAACCCGGUGAACUGAAACAUCUAAGUAACCGGUGGAAAAGAAAGAAAAAUCGAUUUCGUCAGUAGCGGCGAGCGAACGCGAAAUAGCCCAAACCGCGGGGGUUUUCCUCUGCGGGGUAGUAGGGCCCUU
rnacentral:rRNA from 1 species